UACGGAGGAUGCAAGCGUUAUCCGGAUUUAUUGGGUUUAAAGGGUGCGUAGGCGGGGGAUUAAGUCAGUGGUGAAAUGCUGCAGCUUAACUGUAGCACUGCCAUUGAUACUGAUUUUCUUGAGUGUGGUUGAAGUAGGCGGAAUGUGUAAUGUAGCGGUGAAAUGCUUAGAGAUUACACAGAACACCGAUUGCGUAGGCAGCUUACUAAGCCAUAACUGACGCUGAGGCACGAAAGUGUGGGGAUCGAACAGGAUUAGAUACCCUGGUAGUCCACACUGUAAACGAUGAUCACUAGCUGUUGGCGAUAAACAGUCAGCGGCAAAGCGAAAGCAUUAAGUGAUCCACCUGGGGAGUACGGCGGCAACGCUGAA
rnacentral:rRNA from 1 species